AGAGUUUGAUCCUGGCUCAGGACGAACGCUGGCGGCGCGCUUAACACAUGCAAGUCGAGCGAGAACCGGUCCUUCGGGACCGGGGAAAGCGGCGAACGGGUGAGUAACACGUGGGUAAUCUGCCCUCGGCACUGGGAUAGCCCGGGGAAACCCGGAUUAAUACCGGAUAGACUUUCGAGCCUUCGGGCUCGUCAGAAAAGGUGGCUUCGGCUUCCGGCUGAGGAUGAGCCCGCGGCGGAUUAGCUUGUUGGCGGGGUAAUGGCCCACCAAGGCGACGAUCCGUAGCUGGUCUGAGAGGACGAUCAGCCACACUGGGACUGAGACACGGCCCAGACUCCUACGGGAGGCAGCAGUGGGGAAUCUUGCGCAAUGGGCGAAAGCCUGACGCAGCGACGCCGCGUGCGGGAAGAAGGCCUUCGGGUUGUAAACCGCUUUCAGGAGGGACGAAGCCACUCGGGUUAAUACCCCAGAGGGUGGCGGUACCUCCAGAAGAAGCCCCGGCUAACUACGAGCCAGCAGCCGCGGUAAUACGUAGGGGGCAAGCGUUGUCCGGAUUUAUUGGGCGUAAAGAGCGUGUAGGCGGCCAGGUAGGUCGGCUGUGAAAACUCGAGGCUCAACCUCGAGAUGUCGGCCGAAACCAUCUGGCUAGAGUCCGGAAGAGGAGAAUGGAAUUCCCGGUGUAGCGGUGAAAUGCGCAGAUAUCGGGAAGAACACCCGUGGCGAAGGCGGUUCUCUGGGACGGUACUGACGCUGAGACGCGAAAGCGUGGGGAGCGAACAGGAUUAGAUACCCUGGUAGUCCACGCCGUAAACGAUGGGAACUAGGUGUGGGCGGUGUCGACUCCGUCCGUGCCGAAGCUAACGCAUUAAGUUCCCCGCCUGGGGAGUACGGCCGCAAGGCUAAAACUCAAAGGAAUUGACGG
rnacentral:rRNA from 1 species